GACAGAGGGUGCAAACGUUGUUCGGAAUUACUGGGCGUAAAGCGCGUGUAGGCAGCUUGGAAAGUCGGAUGUGAAAGCCCUGGGCCCAACCCAGGAAGAGCAUUCGAAACUCCCGAGCUUGAGUACCGGAGAGGAAGGCGGAAUUCUCGGUGUAGAGGUGAAAUUCGUAGAUAUCGAGAGGAACACCUGUGGCGAAGGCGGCCUUCUGGACGGUUACUGACGCUGAGACGCGAAAGCGUGGGGAGCAAACAGG
rnacentral:rRNA from 1 species